rnacentral:sRNA from 1 species
UCUAGUGCUUUUUUUAGGAUUACAAGUAUUGUUGACAUUAGAAAUGACCAACUGCAAAAACAUUUCUGUAGUGUUCCAUACUUUAUUUCAUUAUAUACAUUGUUGUUUAUUAGAUGAAAUACAUGUAACCUUGAUCGUCAACAGGUGUUAAUCAGUCAAUAUAUCGUGUCUCCAUAGCUCAGGAUUAGAACAUUUGAAUGCUCCGCCUUAGCCCUGAGUUCGAGACCCGGUUGAGACUUGAUUUUUCAUCACCUGUAUUAAUUCAUGCAUUUUUGGAAUCCUUUUUAGAGCUUACUGUUUUCGCUCUGCUUACAAAUAUAUUUUACAUCGACAUGAUACAAAUCAUAAGCUUACUCGUAAUACAUGUAGUUUUGUCUGUUAUGGCAAGGUAACAGGUAUGUAAAAAUAAAUCAAUAUAUCGUGUCUCAAUAGCACAUUGGUAAAGUGCCUAUAUGCCUUUACUUAUCCAUGGGUUCGAGACCCGGUUGAGACUUGUUUUGCUACAACCUGUAACAAUAUUAUCAUGUGCAAAAAACCCAUUUUCACAUAGUUAGAACAGACUUGAAUCUUUUUUUUUCACAAAAUAAAAUUAUCAAUUGUUUAUUAUAUUCCCUUUUAAAGGGCAUGUUGAAUUCUUUUAUCGUGAUAAUUGUGUUGUAUUUAAGAUAACAGGUAUAUGAAAUAAGUAAAUAUAUCGUGUCUCAUUAGCUCAGUGGUAGAGCGCUAAUCCGCUCCGCCUCAUUCCUGGGUUCGAGACCCGGUUGCGAAUUGAAAUUUCACCACCUUUUAUACCUUAUUUUUGGAAAACAUGUUGACGUUGUUGUUUUAAUAAUUCUUUUGAUGAAUAACAAAUACAUGUAUUUGAUAAAAUUUAUGACAAUGGAUAUUGGUAUACAUAAAGUGUUAUGUAUCAUUUAUGUUUAUCUGACUUGCAUUUUUAAAAAAUUGUUGUUGUUGUUGUUGUUGUUGUUGUUGUUGUUUUAAUUUUUUUUUUAUCUGCCUAUUUUUUUAUGUAUUUUCAUCUAUAUACAUGUAUCCAUUUAUCUGGAAAAAGAUGAAUAACAAAUACAUGCAUUUGAUAAAAUUUAUGACAAUUU